GAUUUGAGAGGAUCUGCUCAUAGUACGAGAGGACCUGAGUGGACGAGCCUCUAGUGUACCAGUUGUCGUGCCAACGGCAGUGCUGGGUAGCUAUGCUCGGAAAGGAUAACCGCUGAAAGCAUCUAAGCGGGAAACCUGCCUCAAGAUUAGAUCUCCCGAACGUAAGUUCCUUAAGGUCCCUUGAAGAUUACGAGGUUGAUAGGCUUAGGGUGUAAGUUCCGUGAGGAAUUAAGCUGAUGAGUACUAACCGACCGUGAGGCUUACUG
rnacentral:rRNA from 1 species